AGAAAGGAAUGAGCUUAGUGAGUUAGAGGAAUAGAAGGAAAGCAACUCCAGAAGGCUUACCCACAGCUGGGUCUUAACUUUACAUGUGACGGGAAGCUGUUGGGGGACUUUGAGGAUGUGGUCACCUGAUUUCCAUUUUUAAAAAAGGUAACUUUGGAGACUGGAUUAGCACGAGAGGGAGCAGGAAACCUGAUUAGCAGUCCAUUAACCGCUGUCUAGCCAAACAGGAUGCUGACUUGGAAGGCCAGUGGAGAUGGAGGAAAUCAGAGAGAUACGGGAUCUGCUUUGGAGGUAGAGCCAGCAGGAUGAAAGAAGAAUCCAGGAUGCUGCUGAAGUCUUGGGGAGGUGCUCACGUGGAGUGUGAGGUCUCGCCUGACCCCAGGCUGGCAGGUGGCCUUUGUCUCCGCGAGUCAGAAGGGCAUCAAACCACGACCUGAGGUUUAACUGCACAGCCCUGGCGACGGAACAAGGCUGCUAUUACGAGGGAACAGAAUCAACAGGGAAGCGGCAAGCGGGAGGCAAGCUUUAUGCUCUGUGGUUUCGCCCCAGUAGGAGGACGUGAUGACACCUCCAGGACAAAAGAAUACACUCUGUAGUUGUAUCACUAUAAAGAAAGAUUGGGAGGCCUGUCUGAGAAGGUGCCAUUUCAGCCUGGAUGAGGGAAGGAAGGAAUGAGCCAUGCAGAUAAAUGAUUGCCAGAAGGACCAGUAAAGGCUCUGAAAUGGGAGAGCUGGAAACCAGUAAAUCUUAGCAUACAUGCCCAUUUCUAGCCACUGAAAAUUAAAUUAGCGAAUAUUAAUUACUUCACGGUCAUAAGGAAAAGGAUCCUGAGAUGCGUUGUUUCCCGUCUACUCUGAGAUGCUUCCCAGUAGGAGGGGCACAAUGAUAGGAUUCUGUGUGUGGGUUGCUCUAGAACAGUGGUUCUCAACCUGAGGCGAUCCAAACGUUCUCCCCACCCCCCUUCUAGGGGACAUGUGGCAGCUACAGGAGCCGAGGUUGCCUGUCAUGACCGUGGAGGGGUGCCGCCAGCAUCUGGGGUCUAGGCCCAUGAAGCUGGCAGACACCCCACAACGCACAGGACAGCCCCCUGCAACGCAGAAUGACCCAGUCCAAAUGUCAACAGUGCCGAAGAUGAGAAUCUCGGGUCUAGAGAAACUGGAAAAGAUGGAGAAGGGAGAAAAUGAAUGGAGGGCACUGCCUACUUUUGUCCAUCUGGAUCCGCCCUACUCACAGAAAGGACUUUGGACCCAUAUUUAACCAACCGUCAGAAGGGAUUCAAAAGGAGGCUAAUUGAACACUGAGAUUUUUGAAGCUCUCAAACGAUGACCCAAGUGUUUUCUUGAAAACAGCAGCAGCUUGGCAGGAAGCAGGAAUUAGACAAGAGAAUUGAUGGAAACCUGCCCUCCAAAUGGGAAGAAAAACUUCCAAUGACAAACUGUGAGGCCAGCCAUGGCAGACCUCAACCGAGUAAGUUACGAAAAGGCAAGCUAGGAAACCACACAGGCACACAUUUCCCUUGGGCAACAUCAGAUGAGAAAGCGAUGCUUUUCCAUUGCAGGCGAAACAGAGAAACAGGAAACCCAGAGGCAACGACUUGCUUGGAGGCCUCCAAGUGCCGUGAGAAGAACAUGCCUGUUCAUUCAAGGAGGAUGAGAGACACCUAGAGCAGACCUUGAUGCAACCCACACCUUGAAGCCCAGCCCAGACAGUCUAGAUCAUCUGAAAACCAGCCAACUUGAAGAUGCUUUUAUGAGAAAAUGGAAGAAGCAAGAAUAUAAGUGACUUACCCAAGCUUCCACAACUUCCCCCAAAUUUUAUAACCUUCAAGGCCUACCAACCUGGAACCAGCUCUGAUUAAGCAUCUAUUAUAGGAGCCAGGCAUAUCUAGAUGCUAGAAAUACAACACUGAAUGGAAUAGACACUGGUGGUUUUAAAAUGUCUACAAGAAUCUGAAAAAGAAUAUAUAUAUGUCUAACUGAAUCACUUUGCUCUACACCUGAAACACUGUAAAUCAACUGUACUUCAAUAAAAAAAAUUUUUAAAGUGUAAACACAUUGGGGGAAAAUAUUCUGUGACACUCCCCCUUCAAAAGGCAGAAGCCUCUCCCUUUGAGCUCAGGCUGGACCUCAUGACUUGUUUCUAAGGAGUAGAAUAUUGUGCAGAUGACACUGAGCAACAUCCAAGACUAGUCAGAAAACACACUGCGGUUUCCUCCUUGCUCUUUCCCUCUGGAAGGCAACGGCCAUGUCCUGAGAACAUUCAAGCAGCAUUAUGGAAAAGUCCACAUGGGGAGGAACUGAGGCCUCCAGCCAGCAGCCCUGUGAGCUCCAUCUGAGCAGCAGAUCCUCCAACUCCAGUCAAGCCUUUAGAUGCUGGCGGCCUCGACCAACAUCCUGACGAUAUCGUGACUACUUACAAGAAACCUUGAGCCAGAGCCACCUGUCCAGACUGCUCUCAGUGAUUCCUAACCUCAGAAACGGUGUGAGAUAAGAAAUGUUUGUUAUUUUCAGCUGCUGAGUUUUGGGGUAGUUUGUUACACAGCAAGAGAUAAAUAAUACACCACCAAAAGUCCUGUUUUCAUGAUUCUUACAUUCUGAUGUUUGUUUAGGGGCAAUGAAUAAAUGUUUUUUGAGGAAAUGA